UGCUGAUUGCUGAUACGCUUGAGUUGUUGUGCUGCUGAUUUUAUACAAUUGGGCCGUUGCUCUAUGUUGAAAUUGGGCUGCUGAUAACGCCGUUUUGGAGUGGGCUCAUCAUGUUUGGCAUUGUUGCUGUUGGAAUGGAAUUAAUUGGAAUAAUAGGAGCUAGACUAGGCCACUGCUGGACAUUGGACGCUGCGCUGUUUGGAUGCUGUUGAUUGGUGGUAAAUAGUCUAAGGUUGGUGCUGAUGCAAAUAGGAAUUUGGGCCACAUUAUGGGAUGAAAUGCGGUCUACUGCAGAUUUUAAGAACAUUGGCCUGGUUGCUUGCAUGGACUUUGGGCUCAAGUAGAACGACACUGUUUCAGUGAGGCACAAGUUGCAGCUGUUGAGGGGCCC
rnacentral:lncRNA from 1 species